rnacentral:rRNA from 1 species
GAUGAACGCUGACAGAAUGCUUAACACAUGCAAGUCUUUGGCGAAGCUGUGCUUGCACAGCCUAGCCAAGGCGGACGGGUGAGUAACGCGUAAGGAACUUGCCCUGCAGUCAGGGAUAACAGACGGAAACGACUGAUAAGACCUGGUAAAGUCAGGCGGACUCAUGUCCAGCCUGAUGAAAAGAGAUGCUGCAGGAGAGCCUUGCGUCCUAUUAGCUUGUUGGUGGGGUAACGGUCCACCAAGGCGAUGAUAGGUAGCCGGCCUGAGAGGGUGGACGGCCACAAGGGGACUGAGAUACGGCCCUUACUCCUACGGGAGGCAGCAGUGGGGAAUAUUGGACAAUGGGGGCAACCCUGAUCCAGCAAUUCUGUGUGCACGAUGAAGGUUUUCGGAUUGUAAAGUGCUUUCAGCAGGGAAGAAAAAAAUGACGGUACCUGCAGAAGAAGCGACGGCUAAAUACGUG